AUGCUUAUUUCAGCAGCACAUAUACUAAAAUUGAAACAAUACAGAGAAAAUUAGCAUGGUCCCUAUGCAAGGAUGACAUGCAAAUUUAUGAAACGUUCCAUAUUUUU
ensembl:snRNA U6 U6 spliceosomal RNA